GAUGAACGCUGACAGAAUGCUUAACACAUCAGCAAUUGAUUGGUGGCUGACGGGUGAGUAACGCGUAAAGAACUUGCCUCACAGCUAGGGACAACAUUUGGAAACGAAUGCUAAUACCUACUACUGUGACAGAGCUUUGCGUCCCAUUAGCUAGUUGGAGAGGUAACGGCUCACCAAGGGGAUGAUGGUUAGCCGGCCUGAGAGGGUGAUCGGCCACAAGGGGAAUGAGACACGGCCCUUACUCCUACGGGAGGUAGCAGGGGGGAAUAUUGGACAAUGGACAAAAGUCUGAUCAAGCAAUUCUGUGUGAACGAUGAAGUUUUCGGAAUGUAAAGUGCUUUCAGUUGGGAAGCGGUAGCAACAGAAGAAGGGACGGCUAAAUACGUGCCAGCAGCCGCGGUAAUAC
rnacentral:rRNA from 1 species